UACGUAGGAUGCAAGCGUUGUUCGGAAUUACUGGGCGUAAAGAGUACGUAGGCGGCCUUCUAAGUCGAACGUGAAAUCCCCGGGCUCAACCCGGGAACUGCGUCCGAUACUGGGAGGCUUGAAUCCGGGAGAGGGAUGUGGAAUUCCAGGUGUAGCGGUGAAAUGCGUAGAUAUCUGGAGGAACACCGGUGGCGAAGGCGGCAUCCUGGACCGGUAUUGACGCUGAGGCGCGAAAGCCAGGGGAGCAAACGGGG
rnacentral:rRNA from 1 species